UCCAGCCGGUGCCGCCGCCUCGCCUACAGCCAUCUCCCUGCUGUCCGCUGCUCUCCUCUUCUUUCCAUCCUUCUUCUCCUCACCAUGCUGCUGCUCCUCCCUCUCAAUCUCUACUGCUGCUCUUCCUUGCGCCCCCGUGCUGCUGCCUCUCCUUCCCUUCGUUGCUGCUGCUUCUCCUUUGAUCCCUUUGCUACUGCUCCUCUUCUUCGUGCCCAACCUCCGCUGCUGCUCCUCUUUCCUGCUGCAUCCCUGCUGCUGCUACUCCCUCUCACCACGCCUCUGCUGCUCUCUUUCCCCUCCUGCUGCUGCUCUCCUCACCAUGCUGCUUCUCCUUUCUGCUUCUCCUCUUGCUGCUGCUGCCCGCCCCCGACCUCCUGCUGCUAUCUCUCUCUACUUCCCCUGCUACCUUUCUUCUCUGAACCUACCUACUGCUUCUCUCUCUCUCUCUGAAAUUGUUGUAGUACUAAGAUUUGUAAGACAGUGUACUACAACCUGUUAAUUGUUCAGUUCAGAUUUUUGCUUGUUUAGUAUUAUUCUGUUGAUCUGUCCUAAUCUUGUGGCUAGUAUAAUUUCGUUUCUGUUGUUACUUGUGUAACCUGAACCGAGGUUAGUAUCCUAUUUGCAUAUGUGUGUUUUGUGUGUUCUGUAGUCCCUGUAUUAGUUACGUACCUGUGAUAUAUAAAUGUGUGUGUGCGUGUGUGUGUGUGUGUGUGUGUGUAAUUCAUCAAAAUAUAUUGUUGUGUGAUGAUGAUAUAUGUUCAGUCUAGAGACACGUUGUUUUUCUUGCUUUGUAGAUCGAUGUGAACUAGUACUCUUGUGUGUUUCUGUUGUCACUAGUUAAAUUGAUCACCUAUGUACUACUUGUUGUAGAAACUUGUUACAUUAGUCCUUGUGCUAGCUAUGCACCUGUGAUAAAUAUGUGUGUGAUGUGAAACAUUUCUGUUCUGUCCUAUAAUAUUGUUUCCUCCCUCUUUUGCUUGUCAUUAUGCUAUAUGUGUUCAUGUCCUAAUGUUUCCCUUUAUGUUAGUUUCUAAUUUCUCAUGCCUAAUAAAAAUACCAAAAGAGAGCAAGUAAGAUCUGAUCCUCCCUUUGCUAUUUUGCCUUUUCUUUGUGGAUCAUCUUCGGGAGCAACCUUGUUUAGUUUAGGUUUAUUUUCUUGCAGCCAUAAUCUCAAUUGUGUUACCUAGAUUUAGCUGAGCAUAGUCGCCGUCGCCUAGUCCCUGAGGGGAACACGACACUCGCGAUUUGGGCGAAAUAUCCCACCGCAUUUACAAACGAUCAUUUUGGCGCCGUUGCCGGGGACUAGCAUCGAGUGACAGUGUUAGGCUAUAGACUAGGUUUUUCUUGUUUUCAUUUUGUGCCAUAUAUUUGUGAUAUAUCUCUAGCCACUAACCCCUGUUCUAGGUAGUAUCUUUUUGUCUUCUUUUCCUUUUUUGCAGGUUGGAUUAUCCUCUCGGAAAUGGCAUUCUAUUCGGAUCAUCAGGCUUAUGCGAGCAACACUACAAACAACAUGAAAAGAAUUCAAGAACUGAUAAGUAAGAUUUCCCAUCGAUUAGAUGAUUUAGCUCGGCAGCGAGAAGUAGUUUUUGUGGAUAGUCCUAGCUCUUAUGAUCCUUAUUCUGGAGGCCAUCCUUAUGUUGCUCCUACUUGCCAUAUUUGUGGAUUUCAGGGCCAUUCGCUCGCUGAAUGUCAGCGUGGUUACUCUCGCCCUCCAGAUUGUUUUGGCAUGAGCUUUGCUCAAGAGCAUAGCUCAUACCAAAACAAUUACUCACAUGGGUGGCCUGAGAACCCGAAUAUGUCAUUUAGGAGCAACAACCCUGAGAUCUUAUCAUUUGCCUCUAGUAAUCCAAUGCAGGGAUUUAGGUAUGAAGAGGAGAGCCACAACUAUGCUCCACAACAGUUUUAUUCACCUCCUACUCAUAUACCGCAGCACCAGGAGAUGUGUCCAAUGGAGUUAAAUGGUCCUCCGUUUGGUCAACCAACAACUUCAGCACCUAAUGAGUCGGUAGAGCAAUCUCAUGUGCAGGGAUUUAGGUAUGAAGAGGAGAGCCACAACUAUGCUCCACAACAGUUUUAUUCACCUCCUACUCAUAUACCGCAGCACCAGGAGAUGUGUCCAAUGGAGUUAAAUGGUCCUCCAUUUGGUCAACCAACAACUUCAGCACCUAAUGAGUCGGUAGAGCAAUCUCAUGUGCAAGUGCCCACACAAGAUGAGUUCGAUGACAUAGACAAACUCACACUUUUGAGUCUCGAGUUCACUUGGAGUGCCGAGGAUGAUCCUAUUAGGAAGGUUAUACUAGAGGAAAUGAAGAGGAUCAAGAGUGGAAAAGAGCUAGUGGAAGAAGUAAGGAAGAUUGAGAAGAGCAUCAAUGCUGGCAGCACUAUUUCUUCACAACUAGAGCUGAGUAUUUCUGGGAUAUCCUUUGAUACAUGUGAGGCUCCAACACCGUCACAUCCAGCUGAGCAAGAUAGAAAAAGUCCAGAGGAAGAGAGACCUUAGAUUGAAGUUGAACUCAAGGAACAAGAUGAUCAAGAGCUACAAUUUCCAAGUGAUCAAGUUGAAGACUCAUCAUCUACUACUCCUAAAGAAGUACAAGAAGCUGUUGUAGAUGAAGAUGAAGAACCUGAGAUUCAUUGGCCUAUUGUCAUACAUGAACCUGAUAUGUCAGGUUUACCCAAUCCUCUUGAUGACAUGCUGCCUUGUGAUUUCUUUGCUUCUAACUUGCAUUGCAUGAUGCCAUCACUUAAGGUAGAUUUGAAAAACUAUUUGCUUGGACAUGAUCAUACACACCCUGUUAGUGGCAUUGCUCAUAUCUCUGUUCAUGAUACUUAUGUUCCUGAUGCUAUACACAUGCUUAAUGAAACGUGUGAUUCUAAUACUAGCAUUGAGCUUACUGAAUUGUACCAUCCUAAACAUGUGCUUUAUAGCUAUGCUUAUGUAAUUGGGUACUCUAUUGAUGAUUUAGAGGGCAUUACCCUUGUCACUUGUAUCGCCUCCUUGGUUGAGUGCUCUUUCAGCUUGUUGCUUGUGCACGAUCCACUACAUGCUGGCCAAGUUCGAGAUGACAUUCCUUGGGACCCCGGUGGACCCAUGGCAUGGGGAUGAGGAGAAGCAAGGAGCACACAUGAAGAGAGAAGCUGUGCCGGCAUGAGGAUAGGGAAGCAAAAGGAGAGGAGUCACAAUGCAAGAGGAUGUGAGAUGAUCGAGCGAGUGCUACAUCAAAGCCCGGUGAGCUGUUUCAUGACCCAUUCCGAGUAUAUCAUCCAUUGAUGCUUGCUGAAUUAAAUUGCUAUUUGGGUUGCUUGUGCCAUUUCUUAAAUGUUGUCCCACAGAUUUUUCACCUUUGACAUAUGGUGCUUGAUGAGAAUAUGUGAACUGAUUGUUGAAUGCCUUGUAAACUAGUGAUCUACAUCCUGUUUGCUUUGCUGAAAGUAGUGAAAGCUAUUAGUUUUGAGUGCUCAAAUCCCUAGUGCACUAGUAAACUUAAUCAUUUUCUGCUUUUACCUUGAUACACCUAAAUCAUUAAGUGUCGGAUGCUGAGUUUGUGCCUAAUGUGUUCCCAUUGAGAGCAAUCACUUACCAUUAUGGAUUAGCAUGCUAUGUUCUCUGGAUCAGUAGCAUGUGAAGUAGACAUGGAUGAGUGAUGAUUCUUGAUUUUGUUCAUUUAAAAAAUGAAAAAUAUAUAUCUUAUAAUGAAUAAAUAAGUCUGACUACCUACAGUAGCAUGUCAUGUUCCCUAGAUCGGUGGCAUGUGGAAUCGGGUUAGCUUGGGCAGUAAUUAAUAAUAAAAAUGUAAUUGUCGAACCAGGUGUAUACCAUAUUCUUGGGAUCGGUGGUAUGUUCCUUUGGGGAGACAAACAAAAAAAACUAAUAAUUGGUCGAGCCGGGUGUAUACCAUGUUCUCGGGAUCGGUGGUAUGUUCCUUUGGUGAGAUCAAUAAAAUAUUAUCAUUACUUUCUUCAAAUUCAAUAAGUGCUUUCAACUGCAAUGUUGUGUUCCUGGUAAUAAGUGAUCUGAUCUCAAGUUUAAGUUUUUUUUGUUUUUGGGAUCAGGCUCUCUUUAGGAACCUUUUGGCACAAUCAGCAUUUGAACUUACUAAUCUUCUUUUAUCAUUGUAAAAGUUUAAAAUGGCCAAGUCUACUAGUAUCCUACUGCUUUGUAGCACUCUAACCAUUAAUUUUCACUAACUAAGUCUGAAGCAUGCACUGUUUAGAGAUCUACUUCACUGGGACAUUCUCCAGUCAGCUCACUGUUCAUUAUCUAGCUCUUGUCAUAUUCCUUUACUUGAGGACAAGCAAAAGUUUAAGUGUGGGGGAACUUGAUAAGCACAUUUCUUAUAUAGAAUUUUGGAACACAAAUUCAUCAUUUAUUGAGAUAUAUUGUCGGUGACGGUUGCAGGGGCGCGGGGUUGCGAGAAGAGCAGGGCUAGUAGACAGCACAAAGAUCGUUUAUCCAGGUUCGGGCCGCGAGGAUGCGUAAAACCCUAGUCCUGGUUUGGUGGGUGUAUUUCAGAGAGUUCUUGAGCUCUCGGACUAGAUGUGGUCAGUGCAUGGUUCAAAAGAGCCGAAUCCUUCUCCAGUAUGUCAUGGGCCUCCUUUUAUAGUCGGAAGGGGCUGCCACAGUGGCACACAGGAGGUGGAAAGGCGUACAGUGCCCUGAGCUUAUCGCUCGUAUUACAGGUGAUAGAGGCGAGGGUGUCCCGAUCUUUCGAUGAGAUGAUAACUAUCGAUUAGGUGGAGUCGACUUUGACGAUCCGACUACAAACGUGCACGACGUUGCGCCUUAGCAAUCGCUAAACCAACUUCGAGAGGUUAUUGACCUCGCCGGAGCACGAUCAACCUGACCACGAAGGUCUAUUCCUGCAUGCAAUCAAAGAACAAGCAAGAAUAUGAUAAUGCAAUCUGAAUAUUGCGAAUAUAGAUGAAGUAUUGAUAAAGAUAGGGAUCCAUAAGCGGUCUUGGUCUGGUCGUUGGACACAAACGAAGUACACGAAGUUGCAAUGGCUAACUUUUAACUAAACAAAUCCCAAGCAAAAAGCUACUAGAUGGAUCUACUUAUAUAGGAGCAAGGGGUGGAGGCCAAAAAGGUGGGAGGACGUCCCAAGGCAGCCUAAAACCAACCCUAGGUCGUACAAGGCUCAUGGGCCCAAGUGGAGGUGAUGCAACACCUUUGGACUUGUUUUUGACUCGGAUUUUGCUGCAGCGUCAGAUUGUUUCGUCCAUAUCUCAAUGCUCCGGACGAAUUUAAAGGUGAAUCCAAUUGGGUUGGAAAGAGGACGAAAUUUACUUUCCAACAAAAAAAGAAUCACCCAAUUCGGAGUCCGUAUGAAAAAGUUGUUGGCGUUUUGAGUCAGGUAUGUCUGUGCAGUCCGAAUCUGAAUCCAGAACGUGAGAGACUUGGACUCUAUCUUCUCUUGGCCCAAAAGUGACGUGAGAGGACUUUUUGAAUAGAACCUAAACUUCUCCUUUUCCCCUAUCUUCAUAUGUGGAUUGUAUAAAUGUCCCAUACACCUGCAAUUAGACAAAACACAAAAGUGUGUGAAGUAUUUUUGUUCUGGAUAACAUAAAUAGAUUAUUGAAUAAUUUGCACUAGAAAUCACCUGACAAAUAUGCAUGUAUGCAAUAUUUUUGGUCGUAUCCAAGGUAGUCAUGUCCUCAUCAUCCUCCCCUUCUUGAAAAUAAAGCCGUCCUCGGCGUUGCUUAAUCUGAAAUGUGGCUAACAAAAGAGACAAGGUGUACAUGUUGUAUAUGUAUAUGUCAUCCAUUUUUACUUCCCGUGGAUUUUGCACAUAUGACACAUGUAUACAUGAGUAACUUUCAUAGUUAAUAAAAUAUAAAGCCAAAAUAUUAUUACAAGUAGAAGGCAUGAAAGUAUUGCAACUCAGUUUGCACAUAUAAGUGAAGCUCUUAUUCAUAUGAAAAGAUUGACAAUAUUCAUCAUUAAACCAUCCCAACAUUGGUGAAUAAACCUUACUUGCAUUAAAUUUACAUGCUACAACAUGCUUAAAUAAGCAAACAUGCAAUAAGUCAUUUGACACAGAAUCAUCACCAAGAUUAGAGGUCAUAUCAAAAUGAUUAAACAUUGGUUCUUUUGCAUCAACAAUUAAUUCAUUGGGUCCACUCAAAAUUGUUGGUAUUUCAGAUGUUUGAUCACAUGACGCAUUCAUGACAGUAACAUGAUUCUCUAGAUUAGGUGAUGCGCUCAAAUCAAUAGGUAACUCAACACAUGAUGUAUUCAAGUUAACUAGGCAUGCAUCAUUCUCAUGUGAAGUUAUAUCAUCAAUACCUUUACAGUUACCUUGUCGUAAAGAUGUAGCUGAUGUAGGUACGGAUGAUGGCAAUGUACCAUACUCUUGAGAUGAUGUCGCGCUCACAAUCUGAGGUGUGGCUGCUCUAGUAGGUGCGACGGUGGAGGAGCCAAGCGGUGGUGGUGAGCAUGAACUAGAAUAGUAGUUGUUGUAGUCAUCCAAUGCAUCCUCCUGUAACUGUCUCUCAAAGGUACAAGCACGAACAUACAUACCAGAUACUGAAAUCGUGCCUGAAUAUCAUGGUUCAAACCACCAAAAAAUCUAUUCAUUGUAUCAUCCUCAGAUUCUUCUAUGUCACAAUGAUGCAUAUAAGAUUUGAACUCUUGGUAGUAAGCAUGAACAGUGUCGUUGCCUUGUUUAAAUUGUUCAAAUUUGCAAAGCAAUUCACGACGAUAGUAAGGAGGGAAAAAUUAUUGUCUCAUUACCUCUUUCAAAUCUUUCCAAGUUGUGAGUUGGUUAUCAAUGUUUUUCUUACAAUGCACACUCCACCAAACAGAAGCAAAACCAGUAAAUGCUCUAGUGGCAGCUCGUACUCGCUCAAGUUCAGAAAAGUCAUGGUGACUAAAAACUUGUUCUACUUCAACCUCCCAAGCUAGAUAAAUAGCAGGAUUAAAUCUACCCUCAAAUGACGGUAAAGAGAUAACCUGACCAUGUACUUGUGUGUGUUGUCCCAACUCUUGUGAUGGUGAUGAUGUGUCCGUCGUCCAAGAACUUCUAUCUCCGGAACCUGUCAUGAUUAGUAGAAACAAGAAACAAAAUUCGAGAAUAAUGUUCUGAUGAACUACUAGGAUGUGGUUGCAAAGUGCUCACAGUAAAGAAAAUAUCAAUAUCUUGCUCGUUCUUCGAUUGCUUGCAGGAAUAUACCUUCGUGGUCAGGUUGAUCGUGCUCCGGCGAGGUCAAUAACCUCUCGAAGUUGGUUUAGCGAUUGCUAAGGUGCAACGUCGUGCACGUUUGUAGUCGGAUCGUCAAAGUCGACUCCACCAAAUCGAUAGUUAUCAUCUAAUCGAAAGAUCAGGGCACCCUCGCCUCUAUCAAGUGGUAUCAGUUUUCAGGUUGCUCGGUGAGAAUUUCCAGUUUCCCCUAGAUUAGAUUUAUUUUCUUAUCUAUUGUCCAAGAAAAAGCCACAAAAAAGUUAGAUCUAUUCAUCCUUUUGUCCAAGCCAGUCUGAGCCUUUGCAAUUUUCUUUUCAUUGUUUGCAUUAUUGAAUUAUCGGUUGCAUCGUCGUGUCGAAUUGCUGGUCUUAGGGUCUAGUUCGUUUAGAGUUUCGAGUUCUGUUCACAUUAGUCACGUCGCCGCUGCAUCGUUAUCCCUUCCGCUGUCCACCACACCAUCCAUCAAUUUCCACCACGUGCUACCCAUAGUUCAUUGUCACAAUCAUAGUUGAUGUCGUUCACAUCUUCGCUUGAUCCAAUCUGCAUCUUAUCUAGUUUGUCUUAGAGGGAGAGAAAAAAAGACAGAGAAAAAAAGAGAGAAAAAAAGAAAAAGAAGUCGGAGAAAAAAAAGAGAGAAAGAAAAAGAAAAAAAAAGUGUGAGGAAAAAAAGAGAGAAAAAACAACAAAAUUGUGUGAAGUAUCCAAUAUGCAUGCAUGCAAUAUUUUUGGUAGUAUCCAAGGUAGUCAUGACCUCAUCAACAGGACAAGACACAUUUAAUGCGUAGCUUAGGUGUCCCCUUGCUUUAUUGGGGACGGGGGCGAGGCUCGUCCCGUCCGUCGCCGCUCCUCCAUGCUUUGACACGUGCCCUGGCCAGUGAGGCACAUGGUGCCAUGUAGGCAGGCAGGCAGCUGAGGUGGCGCAGUGCCGGAGCCUUCACGAAGAUCUGCAUGCCGCCACGCAGGCGCUCGAUGAGUUGGCCUGGGAGCUGCAUGUUGUCACGCAGGUGCCCGCCCAGCUGGUUGGGCUGGCAGCUGCAUGUGAACGGCGGUGGAAGCUUGGUUGGCGUGGGCCUGGCGGUGGCCCUGCUGGCGUCCGUGGUGAGGGCCUUGCCGUGUGGCCCGGCAAGGGUCUUGCCGUGGCGCGCUAUCGUCCCCAGCGAGGGCCUUGCCGAGGGUCUGGUGGCCUUCCUCGGCAAGGAUCUUGCCGAGGAUCGUCGUCUUCUAAUUCUCAUCUGAUCUUGAAUAUGUCUUCACAAAGAUCUGCAUGCCACUACGGAGGUGCCUCCCGAGCCCUGGCCCAACGUGAUGUUGGAGAUCGUGGGCUCAAGGGUGGCCCGCUCUGUUGGUGCAGGGCGAGCUGUUCCGGCAAGGAUCUUGUCGGGGCUGCUGAGGCUGCCCCGGCAAGGGUCUUGCCGGGGGAACCUGCUUCAUCCCUCUGCUCUUUGUGGUCUUGGCCUUGACGUUGCUCUUAUUAUCUUGGGCUUUGGUCUUACCUUGGCUCACCUCCCCUGUUCUGCUUGGCGUGACCGUAGGCGCGGCUCCGACUGCCCGUGCACAGAUAUAGGGGUACAAAAACGCACCCCUUUUUUUGGACACCGACAGAAGCCCCCGGGCCUGGGCCACACAUAAGCGCGAUACGUUGUUGGGCCAGGCCCAAAACGUGCGCGGGCAGGCGGGGCGGUUUUUACCGCGGUAAAACUUUUCGCGCGUUGCGCUUCCAACGGCCCGCGCGGCGUGGAGGGGUGUGCGUGACGUGGGCGCCAUGCGUGGGACGGUUUCCACACGCAUGCGUCACAUCGCAGUAAAAAGGCGGCUCGCGCCUUCCCCGUAAAAAGAGGGAGGCGUGGAGGCGUGCUACCUCUUGAGCACUGCGUUGCUUUUCCCUUGAAGAGGAAAGGGUGAUGCAGCAAAGUAGCGUAAGUAUUUCCCUCAGUUUUUGAGAACUAAGGUAUCAAUACAGUAGGAGGCUACGCGCGAGUCCCUCGCACCUGCACAAUACAAAUAAAUCCUCGCAACCAACGCGACAAGGGGUUGUCAAUCCCUUCACGGUCACUUACGAGAGUGAGAUCUGAUAGAUAUGAUAGGGUAAUAUUUUUGGUAUUUUUAUGAUAAAGAUGCAAAGUAAAAUAAAAGCAAAGGCAAUAACAAAGUGUUGGAAGAUUAAUAUGAUGAAGAUAGACCCGGGGGUCAUAGGUUUCACUAGUGGCUUCUUUCAAAAGCAUAAGUAUUUUACGGUGGGUGAACGAAUUACUGUUGAGCAAUUGACAGAAUUGAGCAUAGUUAUGAGAAUAUCUAAGUAUGAUCAUGUAUAUAGGCAUCACGUCCGAGACAAGUAGACCGACUCCUGCCUGCAUCUACUACUAUUACUCCACUCAUCGACCGCUAUCCAGCAUGCAUCUAGAGUAUUAAGUUCAUAAGAACAGAGUAACGCCUUAAGCAAGAUGACAUGAUGUAGAGGGAUAAAUUCAUGCAAUAUGAUAAAAACCCCAUCUUGUUAUCCUCGAUGGCAACAAUACAAUACGUGCCUUGCUGCCCCUACUGUCACUGGGAAAGGACACCGCAAGAUUGAACCCAAAGCUAAGCACUUCUCCCAUUGCAAGAAAGAUCAAUCUAGUAGGCCAAACCAAACUGAUAAUUCGAAGAGACUUGCAAAGAUAACCAAUCAUACAUAAAAGAAUUCAGAGAAGAUUCAAAUAUUGUUCAUAGAUAAUCUUGAUCAUAAACCCACAAUUCAUCGGUCUCAACAAACACACCACAAAAAGAAGAUUACAUCGAAUAGAUCUCCACGAGAGAGGGGGAGAACAUUGUAUUGAGAUCCAAAAAGAGAAAAGAAGCCAUCUAGCUACUAACUAUGGACCCAAAGGUCUGAGGUAAACUAUUCACACUUCAUCGGAGAGGCUAUGGUGUUGAUGUAGAAGCCCUCCGUGAUGGAUGCCCCCUCCGGCGGAGCUCCGGAACAGGCCCCAAGAUGGGAUCUCAUGGGUACAGAAGGUUGCGGUGGUGGAAUUAGGUUUUUGGCUCCGUAUCUGAUCGUUUGGGGUACGUAGGUAUAUAUAGGAGGAAGAAGUACGUCGGUGGAGCAACGUGGGGCCCACGAAGGUGGAGGGCGCGCCCUGGGGUGGGGGGGUGGGCGCGCCCCCUACCUCGUGGCCUCCUGGAAGCUUCUCUGACGUAAGGUCCAAGUCUCCUGGAUCAUGUUCGUUCCAAAAAUCACGCUCCCGAAGGUUUCAUUCCGUUUGGACUCCGUUUGAUAUUUUUUUCCCGCGAAACUAUGAAAUAGGCAAAAAAAAAUAGCAAUUCUGGGCUGGGCCUCCGGUUAAUAGGUUAGUCCCAAAAAUAAUAUAAAAAUGGAUGAUAAAGCCCAAUAUUGUCCAAAACAGUAGAUAAUAUAGCAUGGAGCAAUCAAAAAUUAUAGAUACGUUGGAGACGUAUCAAGGCGCGACUCAUUUAUUGAACGGGGCCAGGGCGCGGUCUUCAAGGCAUCCACUCCCCACGAUCACGGGGUGGGGAGAGGUUGCUUCGCCCGUCCCCUCGGUUCUGCAUGUAUGCCACGCGUCCUCCAUGCACCUAGGGUGGCAAGCGGUGGAGGCGGGAAACCGGGCCGUCGCUGGUUGGGGCAGCGGGUCGGUCCUGAUUCCCCGUGGCUUUGGUGGCUGGAUUGGCCGAGUGAGGCGGCCGAGCCCCGUCCCCGCCUCCUUAUAAAGAGGGGGAAGGGGGGAUGGCAUCCCACACUCUUCCGUCAUCUAUCUCCACUCGCUUCUACUUCUUCCUUUCACUCGCCAUGGAGAAAGGGAAUCAUGGUCCCUCAACGGUGGCGGCGAGGGUCGCCGCCCGACAGCACGUCCCUCCUCCUCCUGAGCCCGCGGUGGUGGAACCGGCCGCGUGGGGAAGGGGGAGGGGGCGAGGUCGUCGGCGAGGCCGGGGCAGAGGUCGUAGUGCUCGGGGAAGAGGAGGACGGGGCGGCGCACCGGCUUCACCCCCGCCAAUGAUGCCUUUUCCAAUGGAAGGCCAUGUUGGAGACCAGCCCCGUGAAUUUUUCAUCAGGCUGCGCUGGCCUUCGCGUCGCCGUCUUCGUCUUCCCGCCCCGUUCGCUCGGGAGAUGGAGUGUGACCCGCCCCAGUCCCUCAGAUUGCACAUGAGGGGUUGUGGGAAUGGGGGCACGCGGGUCGACGUCGACUUCCCGGCUCCCCGGGUCAUGUACCUCCGUCAUGGGUGGAAGACGUUCGCUCGCAUCCACAGCCUAACGGCGGGGCUCGUCCUCUACUUCAAAUUAAUGGAGGACGACCUGCUCUCCGUCAAGGUCUUCGGCGACUUCGGGACUCGCCUGAAGUGCUGCGUGGAGAGCUCCUCCGAUGGAGAUUCCGACGAUGGAAGCUCUACCUCGAGCGAAAGUGAUGAGGAGGACAACGGGGCAGACGGCGGGGACGAGUCCGACUAGGCGUCGGACGCCUGGUGCCUGGGCGGGUGCGGCAGCAGCAACAUCUGCACUUGGCCGCUCCUCCGGCAGAGUUUUGCCGGGGGUGGGGCCAGCUCCUUGAACUUCUCGGGGCCGUCUCCUUGGGCGGCUGGCGUCGAGAGGCUGCGGAAGAGGAAGAGGGCGGGCGGCAACGCCGUUAACUCGGAGUACGCGGGCACCGACGCCUUCGUGGCGUACUGCCGGUCCUGCCGCCUCGUCUUCCAGCUCCUUUCCCGGCACCGUCAUCACCGGCCCGCCCCUGGGCGGUCACCAAGGUGUUCUCUUGGUGCUUUCUGCCGCUCGUAGCUCGCCUAGGCGCCCCUUUUGCCCUUUCGCCUCAUUGACCUGCCUCCUGAGGAGAGGGACAAGAAAGGGAUUACGGGCAUCUUAUCCUUCUUCUUUAGUUUGUAAGCCUGCGGGCCUUUGUUAAAUUUAGAACUUGUAAUCCCCUUGCUCAUGUUUUUCAUUUCGUACGAACUGUACCUGUAUGGGAUGUUUUUAAUGAAAAAGGGAUGCUUGCCGGGUUUUUCGUUCGUGGGUAAACCCCGCGACAAGGAGCGAAUCCUUGUUAUUGUUUAAGAUAAACGUUUUUCGCCCGGCAACAGGCCUUGCCGCCCCCCACUCCACUCGACCGUUCUCGCGCUCUUGGCGGAGGCAGGGAUGAAGUGGGCUUUAGGCUCCUCGUUCUACCUCCUUGCCGCCGCGGCUACAACCAAAUCCGGACCUAGGAAAUAAUCCUUAGGUAUAGGAAAAAGGGGAGCACGACAGCCUAGAGAUAAAAACGAGGUUUCACAUGCCCCAGUCCUGUUCUGAAAUGCAUGACAGAGGAUAAAAGACUUAUCUGGAUCUGCAGCCCCCAGCAAUCUCAUCUUGCCGCGGUUGGAACCUUGUGCUUGCAGCCCCCGGCAACUCUGGUUUACCGGGGUCGGGACGCCGGUCCGUUUUCUUUCUUCCAAGUAGCUCGACAGAAGUGCUCAUGUGCCCUGCGAACCAAAGGAGGACGGAAGAGAAACAGAUAGACGCGCAUUCGACCUCUAAGCUAGGGGUUAGUCGCUGCUGAGCACUAUCAACCCUAACCAAGGAAGAGACUCGACCUAGCAUGCAUGCUAUGACUGAGGGCGCCAGCGCUUCAUUUAUUUAUGCUCAGGGUCUGUGCCUGGCUUUGUACGAAGGGUUACAUGCCUUGCCGGCAAAGCUUGUACAAAAGGUGGCUUGCCGGGAGGCCCAGCAAGCCGCGCCUUAUGGGUAAAACUUGCGAAGAUGCUCGAUGUUCCAGGAGUUCCUCACUGGGAUGGCAUCUUCGGUCUCCAGGUGGACUGCGCCGGGCCUGGUGACUCGUAUUACCCGAUAAGGGCCUUCCCACUUCGGCGUCAACUUGUUGGCAUUCUCGGCCGACUGAACGCGCCGAAAAACAAGGUCGCCUUCCUCAAAGCUUCGGGCAUGAACCUUGCGGCUAUGGUAGCAGCGCAAGGCUUGCUGGUAGCGCGCUGCUCUCACAGCCGCCCGAAGACGAUCUUCCUCAAGGAGCGUCGCAUCAUCUUGGCGCAACUGCUCUUGCUCAAGCUCAUCAUAAGCGAGCACUCGAGGUGACCCGUAUAUGAGUUCCGUGGGGAGAACUACUUCUGCCCCGUAGACCAGGGCAAAAGUUGUCUGGCUGGUGGCUCGAUUUGGCGUCGUCCUGAUCGACCAAAUAACCGCCGGCAAUUCAUCAAUCCAGCGCCUUCCGCUCUUGCGCAGCUUGUCAAAAGUCUUUGUCCUUAGGCCUCGCAACACUUCAGCAUUCGCCCUCUCCGCUUGGCCGUUGCUCCGUGGGUGUGCCACGGAAGCAAAACAGACCUUGCUGCCGAGGUCUUGAAUGUAUUGCAUGAAGGUGUGGCUCGUGAACUGCGUGCCGUUGUCGGUGAUGACUCUAUUUGGCACACCAAAACGGCAGACCAGUCCUUUAAAAACUUGACAGCUGACUGAGCAGUCACCUUUCUCACUGCUUCCACCUCCGGCCACUUUGUGAACUUGUCGAUUGUAACGUACAAGUAUUCAAAGCCCCCGACAGCGCGGGGGAAAGGGCCCAGUAUGUCGAGCCCCCAGACCGAGAAUGGCCAGGAGAGAGGGAUUGUUUGAAGGGCUUGGGCUGGUUGAUGAAGCUUCUUUGAAUGAAACUGACACGCUUCUGUAACGCCCCGGAUCCGAUGCGCCAGGUGUCACACAGUUAUUCGCUGUCGUUGCCAUGUCAUUUGCUUGCGUGUUGCAUUUUGCCAUGUCAUCAUAUGCAUUUCAUAUCAUGUCAUCAUGUGCUUCGCAUUUGCAUACGUGUUCGUCUCAUGCAUCCGAGCAUUUUCCCCGUUGUCCGUUUUGCAAUCCGGCACUCCUAUGUCACCCGGCGCCCCCUUUUGUCUUCUUCUCGUGUGCGGAUGUUAAACAUUUUCGGAAUGGACCGAGUCUUUUCAAGUGGCCUUGGUAUACCACCGGUAGACCACCGGUCAAGUUUCGUUCCAUUUGGAGGUCGUUUGGUACUCCAACGGUUAACCGGGUAACCGCAAAGUCCGUUUUGGUAUUGCAGCAAACCCCCCUUUCAAACAGCCACAAAACCCCUCUAAGUCCCUGUCAUGCUCUCGGUCGUUCGAUCACGAUCGCGUGGGCGAAAACCGCACCCCGUUUGGACUCUCCUAACUCCCUCUACCUAUAUAAACACCCCCUCCCCGAAAUUUCGGAUCAAUUCCACCCUAACCCUAAUAUUUUUCCCUCCGCGCCGCCGGACGUUUCGUCCUCCGCAGCCGGACAUGUCCAUUUCGCCGCCGCCGCCGCCCGCGGCCAAUCGGCACGCGCCACCUGUCCNNNNNNNNNNNNNNNNNNNNNNNNNNNNNNNNNNNNNNNNNNNNNNNNNNNNNNNNNNNNNNNNNNNNNNNNNNNNNNNNNNNNNNNNNNNNNNNNNNNNNNNNNNNNNNNNNNNNNNNNNNNNNNNNNNNNNNNNNNNNNNNNNNNNNNNNNNNNNNNNNNNNNNNNNNNNNNNNNNNNNNNNNNNNNNNNNNNNNNNNNNNNNNNNNNNNNNNNNNNNNNNNNNNNNNNNNNNNNNNNNNNNNNNNNNNNNNNNNNNNNNNNNNNNNNNNNNNNNNNNNNNNNNNNNNNNNNNNNNNNNNNNNNNNNNNNNNNNNNNNNNNNNNNNNNNNNNNNNNNNNNNNNNNNNNNNNNNNNNNNNNNNNNNNNNNNNNNNNNNNNNNNNNNNNNNNNNNNNNNNNNNNNNNNNNNNNNNNNNNNNNNNNNNNNNNNNNNNNNNNNNNNNNNNNNNNNNNNNNNNNNNNNNNNNNNNNNNNNNNNNNNNNNNNNNNNNNNNNNNNNNNNNNNNNNNNNNNNNNNNNNNNCGACCCCGCCGCCGGCGCCCGCGCUGCCGCCGGCCAUCGCCCCGCCGUCGCCUGGCCUGGCCUCCCCUCCACUCCGGCCGCCGCCGAUCGACUCCGGCGAGCCGGCGCCCGAUCCAGAACGAGCCCGCGUUGACUUCGUUCCCCCCCUCGAGGUCGUUAUUUUUCUAAGUCCCCAGUUCUUAUUAAUAUGUGCACAUGUUCAACUGUGUGUAACUUCAUGCAUGUAGCUCCGAUUCGCGCGUAUAAUAUGUCGAAUUGUUCGUCCCGUGAUGCUCUACAUUUUGUUCAAUUGCACCAUGUUCAUUAGAGGUCAUCUUGAUGCCUUAAUCAUCGUUGCAAGAGGGCUAGUUGCUGUUAUCUGCUGAUUCUUAUCAGAACUUGGAGAUUUGUCAUUUUUGUAUCAUUUAAUCUGUGCAUCUUUUGGGCAUGACCUCUACAUGUGUUUUGAAGUAUGCCAUGCCAUCUUUCCAGUGGUGUAGUCCAUGUAUUUGUGUGAUCUCUGUGGUGACUAGCACAAGCACGCAAAGUAGGCCCCGUAAUAUUUCUGAUUUCAGGGACUUAGUGAUUUCUCUAAGUCCUUGUCUGCUGUAAUUUUGUUGCCUUGUUAACUUGAUGCUACAGAGAGAUCCAUGCAUAUUUUGGAGAUGUUCAGUAAGGAUGUUUUGUAGAUAUUGUUAUAAUUGAUCCAUUACUGCCCUUGUUUGCAAUUAUGGUGUGCCAUAGCAUGUCUCAAUCUUGCUCUACUUUUGCUAUAAAAUAUUUCUGGCAGAUUCUUAACAUGAUAUGCAAUCUUGCCAAGCUUAUUGUAAUUGAUCCAUACAUGCUAUGAUUAUACUCUUGCCAUGGUUAGCUUCAUAAACAUGCCAUCUUGCUGUAGAUAUACUUAGGUUAUCAUUCAUUGCUCUGUAGUGAGUGCAUCAAGCUCACAAAGAGGCCUACAUAUUAUAGUUUCUGCCAUGCUCUGUUUUUUGCCAAGUCUGAAACCAGAUAACGAAACUUGCUAUGUUCACAUGCUUGCCAUCAUAUCUUCUGGUCCUUUUUCGCUUAUGGUCAGUAAGGGACUUUUGUUAUAUGCUUUGAGUAGAUUCAUGCCAUGCCUUUCUUUGCUAUGUUAAGUCCCUGUAGCAUGUUGAUUUCGUGCUCUGAACAUUGCUACCUGAUGCUGUUUCUGUCAUGUCCAGUAAUUCUGCCAAGUCUGUGAACCUGUUAUUAUUUGCAAUCUUGCCAUGUCCUUUUGAGCAUUUUCUAUUGAUUUCUGGAGAUAGCUCAGUGUUCAUGUUUUGUUGUGCUUUACCUGUACAUCAUGUCCUUGUCUUUUGUUUUCAUGUUGAGUUGCUGUAGCAUAUUGUUUUGAUGCUUGCCAUAUGCCUAGUUGCUGUUUUGGACAGAUUGUUGCUAUGUCUUGUUUGGAGUGUAUGUGUUGCACCGUUGCUCCGUUUUGAGCAUGCUCUAUAUGAAACUUGCUUAGUUUUGCAUGUAGUCUCAUAUUAUCAUGUUGCAUCCUUGUGUUGAGGUGUGUGCUUGAUGUUUGUAUGCAUUUUGCACCAAUGCCAUGCUCAUCUUGUCUUGCUCAUAUCUUCUAGGCCGUAGCUCCGAAUCUAAUGAACUUUAUAUGUAACUUGACUAGAAUUUCGUGUAGAUCAUCAUGGUGCUCUUUAACUUGCUGUUUAACAACUUUAACUUAAUGCUUGUUCAGUUCUGGACCAAUUUUGAAAUUUGCAUAUGAGGACUUACCGGAAUUGUUAUGUGUUGUUUCCGGCCUCAUUUAAACUUGCCUUGAUGUGUUGCUCUUGUAUGCAUCCUUUCUUGCCGUGUGUAGCCUCAUAUUGCCUUGUCAUGCAUCAUUCUUGAUUGAGCAUCAUGCCUUGUUCAUGUGUGGUGUGUUUACCUUGUUGUGUGUUUCUUCUCGAUAGCUCCUGUGUCGUUGCGAUCGUGAGGAUUCGUUCGUCUUCGUGGCUUCAUCUUCUUCAUGGAUUCGUUCUUCUUCCUAGCGGGAUUUCAGGCAAGAUGACCGUCACCUUGGAUCUCAUUACUAUCAUUGCUAUGCUAGUUGCUUCGCUCUAUCGCUUUGUUGCGCUACCUAUUCACUUGUUCCUCAAGCCUCCCAUUUUGCCAUGAACCUCUAACCUUUGUCACCCUUCCUAGCAAACCAUUGUUUGGCUAUGUUACCGCUUUGCUCAGCCCCUCUUAUAGCGUUGCUAGCUGCAGGUGAAGAUGAAGAUUGCUCCAUGUUGGAUUAUGUUUAUGUUGGGAUAUCACAAUAUCUCUUAUAUUAUUAAUGCAUCUAUAUAUUUGGUAAAGGGUGGAAGGCUCGGCCUUAUGCCUGGUGUUUUGUUCCACUCUUGCUGCCCUAGUUUCCGUCAUACCGGUGUUAUGUUCCCGGAUUUUGCGUUCCUUACACGGUUGGGUGAUUUAUGGGACCCCCUUGACAGUUCGCCUUGAAUAAAACUCUUCCAGCAAGGCCCAACCUUGGUUUUACCAUUUGUCCAGCCUAUUUCUUUUCCCUAGGGAGUCGCUCUCUCGAGGGUCAUCUUAUUUUAACCCCCCCGGGCCAGUGCUUCUCUAAGUGUUGGUCGAACUGAGUAGACUGCGGGGCCACCUCGUGGAAACUCGAGGUCUGGUUUUACUCGUAGGAUGUCUCAUCCGAUGUUGCCCUGAGAACGAGAUAUGUGCAGCUCCUAUCGGGAUGUCGGCGCAUCGGGCGGCUUUGCUGGUUUUGUUUUACCAUUGUUGAAAUGUCUUGUAACCGGGAUUCCGAGACUGAUCGGGUCUUCCCGGGAGAAGGAAUAUCCUUCGUUGACCGUGAGAGCUUAUCAUGGGCUAAGUUGGGACACCCCUGCAGGGUAUUAUCUUUCGAAAGCCGUGCCCGCGGUUAUGUGGCAGAUGGGAAUUUGAUAAUAUCCGGUUGUAGAGAACCUGACACUUGACCUUAAUUAAAACGCAUCAACCGCGUGUGUAGCCGUGAUGGUCUCUUCUCGGCGGAGUCCGGGAAGUGAACACGGUUUCUGGGUUAUGUUUGACGUAAGUAGGAGUUCAGGAUCACCUCUUGAUCAUUGCUAGUUUCACGACCGUUCCUUUGCUUUCUCUUCUCGCUCUUAUUUGCGUAAGAUAGCCACCAUACAUUGCUUAGUCGCUGCUGCAACCUCACCACCUUAUCCUUUCCUUUCCCUUUAAGCUUUGCUAGUCUUGAUACCCAUAAUAAUGGGAUUGCUGAGUCCUCGUGGCUCACAGUUUACUACACCACCAGUUGCAGGUACAGGUUGUGCGAUGAUCAUGACGCGAGAGCGAUGUGUACUUGUUUUGGAGUUCUUCUUCUGCUUCUUCUUCGCUCAGGGGAUAGGUUCCAGGUCGGCAGCCUGGGCUAGCAGGGUGGAUGUCGUUUGAGUCUCUGUUUAUGUUUCAUCCGUAGUCGGAUGUUGAGCUUAUGUAUGAUGUAUUGAUGUAUCCUUGCGGCAUUUGUAUGCCUUGUAUGUAUCCCCAUAUAUUUUGUAAUGUCGAUGUAAUGAUAUCCACCUUGCAAAAGCGUUUCAAUAUGCGGGUCUAUCCUUGGUGGGACCUUCGAGUUCCUGUAGGAUAGGGUCGCAUAUUGGGCGUGACAGCUUCACACUUGGUUACUAGUGCCGUCGCAUCCUGGAGGGCGGUGGGCCAGAAAAAACCUUGUCGGAACGCCUUCCCGGCAAGGGCCCUUGACCCUAUGUGGGAGCCACAUAUGCCUCCAUGUAUCUCCGCCAACAGCUCCAGUCCUUCUAACUGGGGGAUGCACUUCAAUUUCAUGCCAUUCGGCCUUCUCCUGUACAGGACAUCAUCGACGAACUGGUACAGGGCGGACCGACGGGCUACUUUCUCCGCUUCUUCCUGCUCCUCAGGAAGCUCCCCUGUUUGGAGGAAUCGAACGGUAUGCUGCGCCCAUGCCGGAGCCCGGGCUCGACGACAAGGACCAAAGGCAUUUCUUCCGCCAUGGGAGCGGCUGUCUCUACGGCUAGGGCUUGACGCCCUGCCGGAGGUAGCUACUCUUGGGCAGGCUCGGCGUCCGUGGCGGCACCCUUGCCGGCAGCCCCAGAGGGUUCGGUAGGAAAGUACUUGCCGGGACCCGACUUCCUUCGCUUGUUCUGCCCCGUUGAUGGUUUGACGGAUGGUUGAGUUAGCUGGAGCAAAAAGGUACCUGGUUCCACAGGUAGCUUGAAUGCGGCACACUUUGACAGGUAAUCGGCGGUGUCGUUCUCCAUUCGGGGGACGUGCUCCGCUAGGAUACCGUCAAAGCGCUCCUCCAGCUUCCUCACUUCAUCUACGUAGGCUUCCAUCAAUGGGCUUUGGUAAUCCUUAUUGACCUGCCUGACAACAAGCUGCGAGUCACCCCUGACGAUGAGCUUCUUAACCCCGAGGUCUGCCGCGAUCCUGAGACCGGCAAGCAAUCCCUCGUACUCAGCAGUGUUGUUGGUGGACAUCUCUCGGGGAAAGUGCAUCUGGAUCACGUACUUGAGGUGCUCCCCGGUAGGUGCGACGAGUAGCACACCGGCAUCGGCGCCUUGCAGCGAGAAAGCCCCAUCAAAGUACAUGAUCCAGUCGCGAUCUUCCUCCUUGCCGGGGAGUGUGGUCUCCUGGAUUUCUUCGUCAGGUGUUGAGGUCCAUUCUGCAAUGAACUCCGCCAAGACUCUGCUCUGAAUUGUCGAGGUACUUUCAAACUUCAAACCGAAACUUGACAACUCUAAGGCCCACUCCACAAUCCUCCCGGUUGCAUCCGGGUUAUGCAGUAUCCGUUGCAAAGGGAGGCGGGUGACGACAGUGAUCUCGUGGGCUUGGAAGUAAUGACGCAGCUUCCUCGAGGCCAUAAGAAGGCCGAAGAGCAAUUUCUGCACACCGGAGUACCUCGAUCUAGCCCCCUGCAAGAGGGAGCUGACAAAGUAAACCGGGUGCUGCAUCAUCUUCUUCUUCUGCACCACCCCACUUGACUGCGCGGGCACUGCCUCGGUGGCAUCAGACUCUGCCGGGGGCCUCGCCUUGCCGGCACCAGGCCCUGCCGGGGGAAUCUUGGGCUUGCCAUCCGCUGGUUCUGCCGCCGUCACUGCCUCCUCGUUGACCUCCCUCUGUGCCACUAGCGCGGUGCUGACCACUUGAUUUGUCGCCGCCAGAUACAGCAGCAACGGCUCUUGUGGUUUAGGCGCAACCAGUAUUGGCGUGGAGGAAAGGUAUUUCUUCAGAUCCUGCAAUGCUUCCUCGGCUUCUGGGGUCCAUUCCAUUGGGCCUGCCUUCUUCAAGAUUUUGAAGAAAGGAAGGGCGCGCUCGGCGGACUUGGAGAUGAAUCGGCUCAUGGCGGCAACGUAGCCGGUGAGCCGACGCACAUCCUUGAUCCGCUUGGGCGCCUCAAUCUGCUCAAUAGCCUUGAUUUUGUCUGGGUUUGCCUCGAUUCCGCGCUGCGAUACAAAGAACCCGAGAAGCUUGCCGGAUGGAACGCUGAAGACACACUUCUCAGGGUUCAGCUUGAGGUUGAUCUUGCGCAGGUUGGCAAAUGUCUCUUCCAGAUCUUCCACAAGAGUUGGCCCGUCCUUGGUUUUGACUACUAUGUCAUCCAUGUAGGCCUCCAUAUUUCUAUGGAGCUGAGGUUCAAAACCAAUUUGGACUGCUCUUGCAAAUGUUGAGCCAGCGCUCUUCAACCGAAAGGCAUCCGUAAAAAGCAAUACGUACCACAUGGGGUGAUGAACGCUGUCUUUUCUUCAUCCUCUCUUGUCAUGAAGAUAUGGUGGUAGCCCGAGUAGGCGUCGAGGAAUGACAACAGAUCACACCCGGCCGUGGAGUCAACAAUCUGGUCGAUGCGCGGCAACGGGAAGGGGUCCUUAGGACAAGCCUUAUUGAUAUCUGUGUAAUCAAUACACAACCUCCACUUCCCAUUCGCCUUGCGCACCACUACCGGAUUGGCCAACCACAUCGGGUGGAGCACUCCCCUCACCAAACCUGCCGCUUCCAACUUCCUGAUCUCCUCCGUGAUGAACUCCUGCCUCUCCAGAGCCUGCUUUCUGACCUUCUGCUGGAUGGGCCGCGCAUGGGGGCUGACAACUAGGUGGUGCUCAAUCACCUCCCUGGGAACAACGGGGAUGUCGGAUGCUUUCCAUGCAAACACGUCGACAUUCGACCGCAGGAAGGUGACGAGCGCGCCUUCCUAUUUGCUACCGAGGGUGGAGCCUAUGGUGAAGGCCCCUCCCGUGCCAUCCUCCCUGGUGGACACCUUCUUGGUUUGCGGCGGCUCGGCUCUAGAUCUCUUGCUCUUGUCGGUAGAGCUCUCUGGCACGGCCUCGACGGCAGCACAACACUCCGAAGAGGUGCGCUUGCCGGAGUGGGUGCGAGAGGUCUUGCCGGGCUUCUUCCUCCCUCCCGGGGCUUCAGCGGCAGGAGCAGGUGCCUUGGCGGCAGCUGCUGCAACUGCCUCCCGGUAGAGUUGGUCGGCGCAAAUCAGCGCGUCCUUCUUGUCGGAGGGGACGGAGAUGAUGGUCAACGGCCCGAGCAUCUUUAGCAUGUUGUAGGCGUAGUGUGACGCCGCCAUAAACUUGGCUAGUGCCGGGCGGCCGAGGAUCCCGCUGUAGGGCAAGGGGAUCUCGGCCACGUCGAAGACGAUCCUCUCCGUCCUGUAGUUCAACUCUCCUCCAAAUGUCACGGGCAGUGUGACCUUUCCCUUCGGCUGGCUCCUCCCCGGAUUGACCCCUUGAAACGUGCCCGUUUCCUCGAGGUCUCCAUCAGGGAUUUGCAACCUUUUGAUCACGACAGGCGAGAUCAGGUUUAGGCCGGCCCCGCCGUCAACCAACAUCUUGUUCACCCUGAAGUUGCGUAUUGUUGGUGAGACCAACAAUGGCAAACACCCGACCGCGGUAGUGCGGUCAGGGUGGUCUUCGGCGUCAAAGAUGAGGGGCGUGCUGGACCACUUCAGCGGCUUCUGAGCGUCGAACGACGGCUCUUCUGCUGUAAUCUCACGCGCCCACUGCUUGAGCUAGCGGUGAGAGGUAUGCAGCGAGGCGCCGCCAUCGACGCACAUGGCCUCCGUAGCCUUCUGGAACCCUUGCUCACCAGACUCGUCGUCCUUGUCGUGAUCAUCGUCUUCUUGUUUCUUGUCGCGGCCCCGGGCGGGCCUCUCUUGCUGGUUGUCCUUGCCGGGGUAGCCUCCUUGGCCGCCACGCUUCUUGCCGGAUCCCUCAGCACCGUCCUGGUCCUUCUCCUUGUCCCGCCUCUCGUACUCAGCCUUUUGCUUCUUAGGAAGCAGCUCGACUUGUCGGCAGUUCUGGAGGUCGUGGCCCUUGGUGCGGUGGAUCUUGCAGUAUUGCUUGCCGGAGCUCCCUGGCUUGUCGGUAGCUGCCAAGGCCCGGCAGGCGGCGCACCAGGCAAUCUCCUUGUCGGGAGCGCCUGCCUUGACCUUCUUGCCGGCACCGGUGUCGCCAGAUCCCUCAACGGCAAGCACGGCCUUACCCUUGCGUUUCCUGUUGUGACGCCGGCCCUUCUUCGUCGGGGUAGCGGCGUCCUCAUCGGUAGAGUCGGUUUCCGCGCCGGCGUCUUCGCCGGGGUACUUCCUUCCCUCUUCAGCCCGGGCGCAUCUAUCGGCCAGAACGUAGAGCUCGGCCACAUCCUUAAUCUUGGUCAUCGCCAGCUCCUCGCGCAUCUUGCGAUUGCGCACGUUCUGGUGGAAUGCGCUAAUCACAGCGGCAGGAUGAACGUCGGGGAUGUUGUACUGCACCCGGCUGAAUCUCUGGAUGUACUUGCGCAGGGUCUCCCCUUCCUUCUGGGGAAUGAUAUGCAGAUCACUGGCCUGGCCAUGAGCUUGGUGGCCUCCUGUGAAGGCGCCAACGAACUCAUGGCAUAGAUCCGACCAAGAAGAAAUGGAAUCCACCGGCAAGUGCAUCAACCAAGACAUCACAUUGGGCUUGAGCGCCAGCGGGAAAUAGUUGGCAAGCACCUUGUCGUUGCGAGCCCCAGCCUGCAUCGCGAUGGUGUAGAUGCUGAGGAACUCAGACGGAUGGGUCUUGCCAGUGUACUUCUCGCCGACGUCGGGCUUGAACGUGCGGUGGGACGACCACUGGAACUGCUGCAGCUCACGGGUAAAGGCCGGGCAGCCCACCUCGUAAGGUAGGCCGCCGGAGCCCCCCGGUGCCGGGUGGUCCAUAGCGGGUCCCGCCCGCUUGUCCGACUGGCGGCGCGUUUCGCGCCGGCGCUCGACGGUGGUUCGAGCGUCUUUGUGAGCUCGUUCCCGAAGGACCUGGCGCUGGUCGCGGAGGGUCCGCGGGUCGGAUGACACUAUGGAGAUGUUAUCACAAGCGUCGUCACGACGGGCUGAUGCCCGCGGCGGCUGGCGAGGAGGAGGAGAGUGCACCGUGGGCGCAACUCCCCCGGUCCUCCCAGCGCCAGCAUGCGGUGGCUCGGUGGAGCGCCGACCCGAGGGUCCCGCCGGUCGUGGAUUGUCUUUAUUGGCGACGGCGAUGAGGCUUCGGGUGGUGGCCCUCCACUCGUCAAGCUUCUCCGCAGCAGGAGGGAAGUCGAGGAGUAGCUGUGCGCGCGCCAAAGCUUCUGCCGGCGUGGGCGGCGGCGACAGCUACGUGGAUCGCGGCGCGCUUCGACUUCUAACUACGUUAGAAGGAGCUCCGUUACAACCCAGCGGCUACGUGCCAUUUUCGCCAGCGCUUCGGCGGGCGUGCUGAACCCCUUCAUCCUGCGGACGACGCACUGGGCUCUUCCCACGGUGGUGCCCAGGGUCACCAACGCGGUGACGCUGCUCGACACGCACACCAUGGAAGAGCGCACAGUGGUCGCCGGUGUGGGCGUCCUGGAGGUCGCUGCGCCGCCCGGAGGUGGCACAACGACACCCCUGGAGGGCCCGCGCCGCCUACGGGGGGCCCAGCUCCGUCUUUGGAUCCGGCGACGUGUAGCCGGUCGUCUGGUGCGCGAACGACGUCGCUCGCCAGGCUCUGACUACCAGGGCGUUGCUGGUGCUCGCGGACCGCGACCCGGGUCCUGUCUGUGACCGGUCCACUGCCCGCCCGCACCGGCACGGGCCGUUCGGCUCCCAACGAGCCGACCGCCGUGGCUGUCUUCUUCUUAGGAGCCAUGGCGACGAAGAACUACUAGGCUAACUACUAGACCAGAUUCUCACAAUUGCGCCCCCUACCUGGCGCGCCAAAGAUGUCGGUGUGGAACGACACCUACGGGAUCACAAGAAUCCCUACUACGGUUGCCGGGGUGCGGGGUUGCAAGAAGAGCAGGGCUAGUAGACAACACAAAGAUCGUUUACCCAGGUUCGGGCCGCGAGGAUGGGUAAAACCCUAGUCCUGCUUUGGUGGGUGUAUUUUCAGAGAGUUCUUGAGCUCUCGAACAAGCUGUGGUCAGUGCGUGGUUCAAAAGAGCCGAAUCCUUCUCCAGUAUGCCAUGGGCCUCCUUUUAUAGUCGAAAGGGGUUGCCACAGUGGCACACAGGAGGUGGAAAGGCGUACAGUGCCCUGAGCUUAUCGCUCGUAUUACAGGACAAGAUGCAUUUAAUGCGUAGCUUAGGUGUCCCCUUGCUUUAUUGGGGAUGGGGGCGAGGCCCGUCCCGUCCGUCGCCGCUCCUCCUCGCUUUGACACGCGCCCUGGCCAGUGAGGCGCGUGGUGCCAUGUAAGCAGGCAGGCAGGCAGCAGAGGUGGCGCAGUGGCGGAGCCUUCACGAAGAUAUGCAUGCCGCCACGUAGGCGCUUGAUGAGUUGGCCUAGGAGCUGCAUGUUGCCACGCAGGUGCCCGCCCAGCUGGUUGGGCUGGCAGCUGCAUGUGAACAGCGGUGGAAGCUUGGUUGGCGUGGGCCUAGCGGUGGCCCUGCUGGCGUCCGUGGUGAGGGCCUUGCCGGGUGGCCCGGCAAGGGUCUUGCUGUGGCGCGCUGUCAUCCCCGGCGAGGGCCUUGCCGGGGGUCUGGUGACCUUCCUCGGCAGGGAUCUUGCCGAGGAUCGUCGUCUUCUAAUCCUCAUCUGAUUUUGAAUAUGUCUUCACAAAGAUCUGCAUGCCACCACGGAGGUGCCUCCCGAGCCCUGGCCCAACGUGAUGUUGGAGACCAUGGGCUCAAGGGUGGCCCGCUCUGUUGGUGCGAGGCGAGCUGUCCCGGCAAGGAUCUUGCCGGGGCUGCUGAGGCUGCCCCAGCAAGGGUCUUGCCGGGGAACAUGCUUCGUCCCUCUGCUUUUUGUGGUCUUGGCCUUGGCGUUGCUCUUAUUAUCUUGGACUUUGGUCUUACCUUGGCUCACCUCCCCUGUUCUGCUUGGCGUGACCGUAGGCGCGUCUCCGACUGCCCGUGCACAUGUAUAGGGGUACAAAAACGCACCCUUUUUUUUGUACACCGACAUAUAUCUAUCCAUUCUUGCUACGACUUGUUGAAUAUUCGAAUGAUAAUCAUAAAAGAGAAUGUUGACUAGUGAAUUGUUUAUUUUGCAGAAAAGUGCGCAAAGGCACUAUAAUCGUCAAGAUUUCUACUAUGUGGCUAACGAGAAGAGACAAGGGUAUGAAAGAAAUACGUCAAGGCCUGAGCGUGAAGGAAAGAAGUAAUGUAGGGGAGCAAACUAAAAGAAGAGGAGGAUCUUCUUGGGCAUAAAUGAAGAGAAGAGGAGGGCCAAUGUGCAAAUGUGGCAGAUCAGAGAGGGGAAUGAAAUCCCUAGCGGCACCUCAUUGCAAAUCGGGCCUGGCCACAUCUCCAUCUCUCUCCCCCUCACCACUUCUUCCACCACCGGCCGCCGCCGCGGCCAGGCCGGCGUGGCGGCGCGCCACCAACACCACCGCGCCAUAGCACCACCCAUAAUCUCCAUCCAUCUGCGCCUCCCGGCCACCCAUCAUUCCCUCCAUCCACAGCGCCGCCAGAACCCAUCCAUCAUCACCUCCAGCCGGCGCCGCCGCCUCGCCUACAGCCAUCUCCCUGCUGUCCGCUGCUCUCCUCUUCUUUCCAACCUUCUUCUCCUCACCAUGCUGCUGCUCCUCCCUCUCAAUCUCUACUGCUGCUCUUCCUUGCCCCCCCACCCCCCCGUGCUGCUGCCUCUCCUUCCCUUCGUUGCUUGCUGCUUCUCCUUUGAUCCCUUUGCUACUGCUCCUCUUCUUCGUGCCCAACCUCCGCUGCUGCUCCUCUUUCCUGCUGCUACUCCCUCUCACCACGCCUCUGCUGCUCUCUUUCCCCUCCUGCUGCUGCUCUCCUCACCAUGCUGCUUCUCCUCUUGCUGCUGCUGCCCGCCCCCGACCUCCUCCUGCUAUCUCUCUCUACUUCCCCUGCUACCUUUCUUCUCUGAACCUACCUACUGCUUCUCUCUCUCUCUGAAAUUGCUGUAGUACUAAGAUUUGUAAGACAGUGUACUACAACCUGUUAAUUGUUCAGUUCAGAUUUUUGCUUGUUUAGUAUUAUUCUGUUGAUCUGUGCUAAUCUUGUGGCUAGUAUAAUUUCGUUUCUGUUGUUACUUGUGUAACCUGAACCGUGGUUAGUAUCCUAUUUGCAUAUGUGUGUUUUGUAGUCCCUGUAUUAGUUACGUACCUGUGAUAUAUAAAUGUGUGUGUGCGUGUGUGUGUGUAAUUCAUCAAAAUAUAUUGUUGUGUGAUGAUGAUAUAUGUUCAGUCUAGAGACACGUUAUUUUUCUUGCUUUGUAGAUCGAUGUGAACUAGUACCCUUGUGUGUUUCUGUUGUCACUAGUUAAAUUGAUCACCUAUGUACUACUUGUUGUAGAAACUUGUUACAUUAGUCCUUGUGCUAGCUAUGCACCUGUGAUAAAUAUGUGUGUGAUGUGAAACAUUUCUGUUCUGUCCUAUAAUAUUGUUUCCUCCCUCUUUUGCUUGUCAUUAUGCUAUAUGUGUUCAUGUCCUAAUGUUUCCCUUUAUGUUAGUUUCUAAUUUCUCAUGCCUAAUAAAAAUACCAAAAGACAGCAAGUAAGAUCUGAUCCUCCCUUUGCUAUUUUGCCUUUUCUUUGUGGAUCAUCUUUGGGAGCAACCUUGUUUAGUUUAGGUUUAUUUUCUUGCAGCCAUAAUCUCAAUUGUGUUACCUAGAUUUAGCUGAGCAUAGUCGCCGUCGCCUAGUCCCUGCGGGGAACACGACACUCGCGAUUUGGGCGAAAUAUCCCACCACAUUUACAAACGAUCAGCGAGGCUCAUCGUCGUCCUUGCUAGGCGGCCCUUUCCCCUUGUGCUCGGUGUUUAGCUUACCGACCUGUUUGAAGACCCAACAAUUUUUGCUGGUAUGAUUGGCAGGCUUGUCAGGGGUGCCAUGGAUCUGGCAAGGCCGAUCGAGUAUUCUGUCCAAACUGGAUGAACCAUCUUUGUUUCCUUUGAAUGGCUUCUUUCGUUGACCGGGUUUAGAGCCACUGAAUCCAGCGUUGACCGCCGUAUCUUCGGUAUCUUCAUU
rnacentral:lncRNA from 1 species